rnacentral:rRNA from 1 species
CUACGGGUCGCAGCAGUGAGGAAUUUUGCGCAAUGGGGGAAACCCUGACGCAGCAACGCCGCGUGAGUGAUGAAGGCCUUCGGGUCGUAAAGCUCUGUCAAGUGGGAAGAACCUAUCCAAGGGUAAUAUUUUUGGGUACUGACGGUACCACUGAAGGAAGCACCGGCUAACUCCGUGCCAGCAGCCGCGGUAAUACGGGGGGUGCAAGCGUUAUUCGGAAUUAUUGGGCGUAAAGGGCGCGUAGGCGGUUUUGUUAGUCAGAUGUGAAAGCCCGGGGCUCAACCCCGGAAGUGCAUUUGAAACGGCAAGACUUGAGUAUGGGAGAGGGAAGUGGAAUUCCUGGUGUAGAGGUGAAAUUCGUAGAUAUCAGGAGGAACAUCUGUGGCGAAGGCGACUUCCUGGACCAAUACUGACGCUAAUGCGCGAAGGCGUGGGUAGCAAACAGGAUUAGAUACCCCGGUAGUC